AAACCUUUAACUUGUCCUUGUUUAUAAUCCACUAUUGUAUAUAAAAUUCGCUGGGUCCAAAUUUUGGGGUUUUCGAGUCGUUAUACAAAGAAAAAUACAUUAAUUCAACACGCAAGAGAGUCCAGAGUGCGACACAACGUAAAAUCCAUAGGAAUGAAACUUGAUCGUGCUUCUCCUCCAUACUUGUUACCAGGCCUUUCAAUGUCAAAACCGCGCAAACUUUCAAGAUGGCGGAUGUCAAAAUUUCCCGACUGCAGUCAGUGUAGCAAGAAUACCAGUUGAAUAGUUUCUUUAUGCAUGAGCAUAAUAUAUAUCGGAUAUAGCUUCGUCUGACCACAUUUUCCCUCGUCGCCUCGAUAUUUUGUUUGCACAGACACAAUAUUUUUGCAAUGUGAGAAACAAAACCAUUUUUAAGCGGGCCGAGACUACCUCCUAAGGAGGUCUCGGCCCGCCUAAAAUUUUGGGUACGCGGGCCCCUUUAAUUUUGCGUUUACAUGACAAAAAUCAGGAGUACCGUGCGCAAAAAAUGGCUCCGCGUGCCAAAAUUUAAGCGUGCCAUGCUCAAAAUGACUGUCGUGUAAACCUUCGGUUCUCGGGCUGCUUCUGAGACCUCGGGAAAAUAGUUCAACUUUCAUGCUCUGUUUUAUAGAAAUUAUUCUCGAAAAACACCGUAAUACUUUCGAAAAAAGCUGCCAUAGCUGGCAGCAAAAAACGUUUUGUCAAUUUUCUGGCCGCGUUUUUUCCUGUCUCUAUAUAGUUAGGGUCAGGGUUGUAUAUAUAGGUCUCCCGAAAAUUGCUUUAAUUAAUGCAACGCUUCAAUCUACAUUAAACCUCUAUAAUUCGUAUUACAUGAAGUACAUGUAACACAGUGUAUAGCGUUGCAUCAAUGAUAGCCUGAUCUCAGGUUACAUCACUAUGGUUUCCUAUGGUUUCCUAGGAAAUUUAUACUAAAUAUUAUUCUUAAUCGAUUCUGAUUUAAUAUUUGGAAUUAUUGUAAAUAUACUGUAAUUAUAGGAAUUGUUAUAUUGGAAAAACACAUAAACUAUCCAUUAUUUCAAUGACCUACUCAUUAAAUGAAUUACUUAUUAACUAGAAAAUACAUGCAUGCAGAAACCCUCGCCUUGCUGAAUUCCAAACAUGAAGUAUUGUCAUGGUAACACGAUAAUUUUAAG